rnacentral:rRNA from 1 species
GUGUCAGCCGCCGCGGUAAUACGUAGGGGGCGAGCGUUGUCCGGAUUUAUUGGGCGUAAAGGGUUCGUAGGCGGCCGAUUAAGUCAGGUGUGAAAGGUCACGGCUUAACCGUGGUAAGCACUUGAAACUGGUUGGCUUGAGUUAAGGAGAGGGAAGUGGAAUUCCUGGUGUAGCGGUGAAAUGCGUAGAUAUCAGGAGGAAUACCAGUGGCGAAGGCGACUUCCUGGCCUUAAACUGACGCUGAGGAACGAAAGCGUGGGGAUCAAACAGGAUUAGAUACCCUGGUAGUCCACGCCGUAAACGAUGAGUGCUAGGUGUUGGGGGAUUACCCUUCAGUGCCGCAGCUAACGCAUUAAGCACUCCGCCUGGGGAGUACGGUCGCAAGAUUAAAACUCAAAUAAAUUGACGG